UUCUCUGUAUCAGCAUUGUUAGGAGAUGAGCAAUUUGCGUAUAAAACGAUUUGUUAUUUAGGAUCCAUGUGAUAGCAAACGUCAAAUCGCUAGUUAGAUUUUAUAAAAUACAAGAAAUGACGGUUCGGUUAAGUAAUGAGGAAAAAAUUGAAAUAAUGUUGAUUGUGGGAAAUAAAUAUAAGACUCAUCGAGAAGCAGCAGCUAUAUUUAACAACAGACAGUUUCAAAAAUUAUAAAUAGAUUUAAGGCGUCUGAAAGUAUUCACAAUAAUUUUAAUAAAAAACGCCAGAAGAGGGUUGCCAGUGAGGACACGCAAUUACAAGUGAUGUUAUCUGUAGUAGAACACCCUAAAUGUCAUUGAGAAAAAUAAUGUCUUUGAUUUGAAAUGAAUUUUAGCUGAUGCCGCAGACCCUUUUCUAUUGGAGUUUGUGAAUUCAAUGUUGUCAGCGAGUCUGUGCCCAACAGGUGUGAUAAAGACAUAGCUGUCAAGCCUACUAGACAAUACCCUACAUCGUUUACUGCUUUUGGGCAGGCUUACAUCAGGGGAUGCCAGGCACCCCCGUCAAUCCGCCCAUGAAAAUUACUCAGAAGAGAUACUUAAAAUUUCUAUUGCCUACUUUUUUGAUAGAAGAUGGUUUUGUAUGGUAUUGCUGAAUGGUUGACUAUAAUUUUUUCUUUUAAGUACAGAAUUUGUGAAAAAAACGCCUGUUUAUGGGUUUAAAACUUUUUCAAACAUAUUUUAAAUGUGUAAACGUUUAGAAGAAAACAUUCAUGACCUAUAAUAACUAAAAACUAAAAUGAAACAUAUAACAUUAUUUGGUUACUUACCUUAAUCACACUUUUUUAAUAAAUAAAACAAAUAGUAGAUAGACCAUGCACUAAAUCUAAGCUUCACUUUAAAAAUGAAUUUUGUAAAAAACAUGAGACCCUAAAAGCUUCAGGGGAAUCCCAAAACCAGUGUCAAUAUUAACCAUAGAUAUGUGAGCUCAUAAGAUUUCAGUUACCAUUGGAUGAUUUGAUUUUAGACAUCAGUUAGAAGGUUUUUGAGCUAUAUUAAUACCAACUUUGAAAUGUUGGGUUAGAUCACUCAAAAUUAAUGGAAAUUGAAAAAAUACGACAAAUAAUAUACUUAAAACUAUUUUAUUUCUUUUAUUUAUUAAAAAAAAAGUGUACAAGAACUAUCUGUUCUUCAACGCCUUCUCGAUGUUUAUUUCCUUCAUAAAUAUUACCAUCUUUUGCCUCCUCCUCCGCCUCUUCCAAAUCCUCCAGAGUUUCUAUUAAAAUUACCUCCACCACUAUUUCUUUUAAAUCCACUACCAAAACUUCUGUCACCUCCUCCUCCUCUUCUAUCACCACCGCCAAAACCGCCUCUUCCCCUAUUACCAAAACUUCCUCUACCUCCUCGUCCGCCACCACGACCACCACCGCCGCCACGUUUUUUAUUACCACUUGACGCACCAGGCAAAAACCUUUGAAGUGGCAGUAGU